UGUGUCCAAAGUAAGCAAAGUCUCACCAUCCUUGCUUCUAAGGAGAAUUCUGGUUGUACUUCCUCUAAGAUGAAUUUCUUCUUGGCAGAUACUUCCUAUGGUGAGCAUAAACGUGUUGGUCAAUAAUAGAAAUUUAGCUCUUACAGACAUCCUCUAGUCCACUUGCCUUACUUUCCAGUUGCGGAAAUUUAGCUAGCCACAGAGAGGCAGUAUCGUACAGUACUGAAGACAAUAGGCUUUGGAGGUUGACUGUCUAGGUUCACAUCUGCACUCUGAACUUGCCUUACUGUCCUCGGGUGUGAAAUGCAAAUAAUAGUACUGCCCUUGUGGGGCUACAUUAUGAGAACUGAAUAUGAUAACAUGCGGGGCCAAUCAGAGUUUUUCAUUGCAAACAACAAAAAUCAAACCUUAGGUAGAAAAGAGAUUUCUUGGAAAGAGAUCAGAUAGCUCACAGAAUUGAAGUGUAAGGCUGAGAGAGCCUCUUUCUCACAAUGCUCUUACCCCUGUACCAGUAUUGCUCUUGCCUCUUUCCGCGGAAAGAUUCUCUCUGCUUCCUAGUCCACAUGGAGGAAACCAUGACUGCUGGCAGCCCCAAAGUUCACAUGUUACAUGUCAGGCCUCUAAGGAGAGACCAUAUCUCUGGCAAGUCAAAUUCCUGGGGAGGGGCUCUGAGCACCAGCAUUGUUGCCAGAAACUCCCUGCUGUACACGUGGGUGGGAGCCACCACACAGAGGAUUGUCCACUCCUGUUCCUUUAUGAGUGCUCACCAAGUGUAGCCAAUGGGCAGGCAGGAACGACAGACUUCACAGAAUGCUGGCAGGGUCCCCUUAGCUGGCUAUGAGGGGCUGAGGUCCCAGAGGAAACCCACUUGAAUUAAGAGUAUCUGACUCAUGGGGUCCAUUCUGUUUCCAGGAUGAUUCAUGAUGCCAUCCUUGGAUCUGAGAAUUCCUGUUUCCAGGACCAGGACACUCAGCUGGCCUCAUAACUCCCACCUCCUCAUCUUCUUCAGCCCCUAGCUUUGCCCUGUCCCACAGAGUCCGCUGCCUCCAACUCACCACCAAAAUCACCCAUUGAUAUGUGACCAGGUGUAAGCAGGAGACUUGUCAUACCCGACCUUGCCUCAGUCGUGUUUUAUUCAUAAUGGUAGGACCUGAGUGGCUGUCCUCCAGGCUUAUAGUGCAGAGCAACAUUUUAUUCCUUCCAUUUGCCAGAGUGUGGCAGUGCUUCUUUAAAGAUCAGAGCCCUGCACUUCUAAAUUCAGCAGUGUCUACGCUUCCAGCUGUGAUGGUUAAGGUUGUGUGUCAACUUGGUUGGGCCAUGAUUCUCAGUGAUUUGGCAGUUAUGUCAUGGUGUAAUUUGGCAGUUAUUUAAUGAUGUAGCCAUCCUCCUUUUUGUGAUCUAAUGUAGUCAUCCCCCCUUUUGUGAUCUGAUGUGAGCAGCCAAUCAGUUGAAAAGGGAAUUUCCUUGGGGGUGUGGCCUGCAUCCAUAUAUGUAUUAAUGUUCUGGCAAAAUUUCCUUGCUCAGGAUCCUGCAUCCAGCUCAUCAUCAUCUGACCUCUGGUUCUUGAGACUUGAGCUAGCUUCCUGCCAUGUUGCCUGCCAACCUUGGAAUUUGUCAGCCUCUGCAAUGUGUGAGACAGUCUGCUGUCCUACCUGCCGAUCUUGGGAUUCGUUGGACCCUGCAACCUGUGAACCAGAGGCAUGCCAUCUUACCUGCCUAUCUUGGGUUCAUCAGCCCCUGCAGCUAUGUGAGUCAGGAGAAGCCUCCAGCCUGACACCUGACCCGUGGACUUGGAACUUGCCAGCCUCUACAAAUGCGUGAGCCAUUUCUUGAGAUAAAUCUCUCUCUCUCUCUCUAUACAAGCUUCACUGGUUUUGCUUCUCUAGAGAACCCAGCCUAAGACAUUUGGCGGCCCCAAAAGACUGUGGGGCUUGCCAUUGAGGACUGAACUUCUGGAGAGAGGUUUGCAGGAUUGCUGCGAGGUUUACAUGUCGGAUGCAUACGGAGGCCUUCUGUGAGGUGGAGCACCCUGUGGAGUCAUGAGGGCAUGUUUCCUGAGCAACAGGCUGAACACCAGGACUCUUAUUUCUGAGAAGCAUAGAUCCCGCUGCUCAAGGGAACGCCACCGCGAUCCAGCUUGUCACUGCACAGAUGAGAAACCUGAGGGCAGAUGGGUCAUUUUCCUGCCUGAGCUCCAGGGGCAGAGCAGGGGCUAGACCCCUGGACACAUCAUCACCCGAAUGCUAAAGGCCAUCGAGAAACCAGAGCGUCCCCUCUCCUCUCAAGGGGACAAUGGGGGAGAUAGAAAUUGAAUAACAAAUCUGGCCUUCGGUGUGUGGAACAUUCUGGUUUCUCAUGGCCUCUUGCUCUUAGCAAGGCAGAAGCUGUGUGCAUCUUCAGAUACUGAGUUUGGGUUCUUGAGGCCAGGGUGGGGAGGCCUCUGGACUUUCGGCUCCUGCUCUGGGACACGCUUUUGCAAAUCAGAUGCUUGCCCCUGCAACAGUGGAUCCUCGAUACAAUCAAUACCGUGAGUCCCAGCUUUCCCCGCCGGGACCACAUUAAUCUUCACAUUUUUGCCACAUCACUGAUUCUCGUGACAGCUCAAGAUGUUUUUCUGCUUCUGAGUAUCCCUUUUAUUAAAAGACUUUUGAGCCCCACAGACUUGUUAACCAGUGGCCUCUCUGCCUCCCGCCCGCCACCCCCACUCCCUUUCCAUUUCCUCAGCUCAGCUUCUGCCUCUUCACUUCUCCCACAAGUCUUUCCACAUCACUCAUUUUGACAUUUAAAAGUUUCCAAGCUUGUUCUGAAAUGCCACAAACACUGCCUUUGUUAUUUGCUGGGCUUUGGAAUGCUGAAAAUCCCAGGACACUGGGAACAGGAAGGCCUGGGCAGGCGACGACGGCAGAGGGCCUCAGGCCUGUGCGAGGAAGACCAAAGACUGAGCCCUGGCUGGAGAAUGUGGGUCGGGAGGACCGCACCCAGGCCCUGGGGAGGUCUCUGGUUGCUUCCUGGCCUUCUUUCAUUUUCACUACUUCAAGCUCUCGUUUUGCUUUCCAGAGUAUCACAGAAUCACUCCAAGCACUACAUUUAUUUAGGAAAAUUGCUUCUAUCGAUGCCGUUGCAUGAUUUCUUCACCUUCUGCGUGGUCUCUGCUUAUAACAAGCCCUCUAGUUUUCAGGAGGGAAUGUCAGAGAAAAACCUGGAGAUGUUUGGGUCUCCAGCCAUGAAGGCUGUCUUCUCAUCAUUCUUCAGCUGCAUAAAUGCUGGUGGUGUUUUCAUAAGAUUUCGUGUCCAGUUUGCUUUGGCCAAAGAGUGUUAUUUUGCUUUUUGCGAGCACACGGCGCUCUUAGAGAAAUCUGUUCGUCUCUGUGUCUGCCAAGUGCAGCCGGAAAGCACAUCGGGAGGGACAGGGCUGGACUUGUGCCGGAUCUGCUCAGAUCCAUGAUUCCACUUUCAAACCCCAUAGCUGCCUUCCUGGGUUUAUUUCUGAGUUCUGUAAGAUGUUCCUAGGAGAGGGGGUACCCUUGGUACCGACAACUACAAAUGGUUGUGCAAACACCACUGCUGUACCCACAACCUUAACAUUGAACACCACAUUCCAAUCCUGCUGUGGAAGGCACCCAAUCGGCAAAGACAUACUGGAUUUGUUCUUACUAGCUGUUCCUCGACUUUUAGAUCCACAGACUAGUAAAAUUAAAGCAAGAGACCACAUAGGCAACCAAGUUUUAUUUUGUCCAGUGAAGACAUUAAAAAAAUACCAGACACAAUCACAAUCGCUAUUAUUUCCUGAGUAGUAGGACAGAAAUAUGAAGUAGUUCUGUGGUAGAAUUCUCGCCUUCCACGCAGGAGAUCCGGGUUUGAUUCCUGGCCAGUGCACUUCAUGGGCAGCCACCACCCCUCUGUCAGUGGAGGCUUGUCUGAUGCCGUGUCAGCUUGGGUAGGCCAUGAUUCUCAGUGGUUUGGCAGAUACUGUGUAAUCGUCUGCCAUUUUGUGAUCUGAUGGGAAAGACCAAUCAGUUGAAAGGGGAGCAUCCUUGGGGGAGUGGCCCACUUCCAGUAUGUAAAUGAAUGUUUUGGCAAAGCUGUCACUUGACCCUGACCUCUGGUUCUUAGAACAUAAGCCUGUGGAAGUCUGGCCUGCCACUUGACCUGCAGAUUUUGGAUUUGCCACCUCCCACAAUCCUGUGACUCAGCAGCCUGCCAUGUGACCUACAGACUUUGGUUUCGUCAGCCCCCGUGUGAGUCAGG